AGUGAACGCUGGCGGUAGGCCUAACACAUGCAAGUCGAACGGCAGCACAGUAAGAGCUUGCUCUUACGGGUGGCGAGUGGCGGACGGGUGAGGAAUACAUCGGAAUCUACUUUUUCGUGGGGGAUAACGUAGGGAAACUUACGCUAAUACCGCAUACGACCUACGGGUGAAAGCAGGGGAUCUUCGGACCUUGCGCGAUUGAAUGAGCCGAUGUCGGAUUAGCUAGUUGGCGGGGUAACGGCCCACCAAGGCGACGAUCCGUAGCUGGUCUGAGAGGAUGAUCGGCCACACUGGAACUGAGACACGGUCCAGACUCCUACGGGAGGCAGCAGUGGGGAAUAUUGGACAAUGGGCGCAAGCCUGAUCCAGCCAUACCGCGUGGGUGAAGAAGGCCUUCGGGUUGUAAAGCCCUUUUGUUGGGAAAGAAAAGCAGCAGGUUAAUACCCCGCUGUUCUGACGGUACCCAAAGAAUAAGCACCGGCUAACUUCGUG
rnacentral:rRNA from 1 species